rnacentral:rRNA from 1 species
AAGUCGAGCGGAUGAGAAGAGCUUGCUCUUCGAUUCAGCGGCGGACGGGUGAGUAAUGCCUAGGAAUCUGCCUGGUAGUGGGGGACAACGUUUCGAAAGGAACGCUAAUACCGCAUACGUCCUACGGGAGAAAGCAGGGGACCUYCGGGCCUUGCGCUAUCAGAUGAGCCUAGGUCGGAUUAGCUAGUUGGUGAGGUAAUGGCUCACCAAGGCGACGAUCCGUAACUGGUCUGAGAGGAUGAUCAGUCACACUGGAACUGAGACACGGUCCAGACUCCUACGGGAGGCAGCAGUGGGGAAUAUUGGACAAUGGGCGAAAGCCUGAUCCAGCCAUGCCGCGUGUGUGAAGAAGGUCUUCGGAUUGUAAAGCACUUUAAGUUGGGAGGAAGGGCAUUAACCUAAUACGUUAGUGUUUUGACGUUACCGACAGAAUAAGCACCGGCUAACUCUGUGCCAGCAGCCGCGGUAAUACAGAGGGUGCAAGCGUUAAUCGGAAUUACUGGGCGUAAAGCGCGCGUAGGUGGUUUGUUAAGUUGGAUGUGAAAGCCCCGGGCUCAACCUGGGAACUGCAUCCAAAACUGGCAAGCUAGAGUACGGUAGAGGGUGGUGGAAUUUCCUGUGUAGCGGYGAAAUGCGUAGAUAUAGGAAGGAACACCAGUGGCGAAGGCGACCACCUGGACUGAUACUGACACUGAGGUGCGAAAGCGUGGGGAGCAAACAGGAUUAGAUACCCUGGUAGUCCACGCCGUAAACGAUGUCAACUAGCCGUUGGAAUCCUUGAGAUUUUAGUGGCGCAGCUAACGCAUUAAGUUGACCGNCUGGG